rnacentral:rRNA from 1 species
UACGGGGGGGGCAAGCGUUGUUCGGAAUUACUGGGCGUAAAGGGCUCGUAGGCGGCCAACUAAGUCGGACGUGAAAUCCCUCGGCUUAACCGGGGAACUGCGUCCGAUACUGGAUGGCUUGAGUUCGGGAGAGGGAUGCGGAAUUCCAGGUGUAGCGGUGAAAUGCGUAGAUAUCUGGAGGAACACCGGUGGCGAAGGCGGCAUCCUGGACCGACACUGACGCUGAGGAAGCGAAAGCCAGGGGAGCAAAGCGGG